GCAGGCCACCCAGUAAUCACCACAAGUUAGAAUGUGGGCAACUCGGCAGUCGUUGCGCAGGCACUCUAGAUAACCUCGGGCCGAUUGCACGUCCCCGUGAGGGCGAUGACGCAUUCGGAUUUCUGCCCUAUCAACGUUCGAUGGUACUUUCUAUGCCUACGGGGAAUCAGGGUUCGAUUCCGGAGAGGGAGCCUGAGAAACGGCUACCACAGCCAAGGAAGGCAGCAGGCGCACAAAUUACCCACUCCCGACGCGGGGAGGUAGUGAC